GGAAGGGUGGCAGAGCGGUUGAAUGCAACGGUCUUGAAAAUCGUCGAGCCGCGAGGCUCCGUGGGUUCAAAUCCCACCCCUUCCGCCA
rnacentral:tRNA from 1 species